rnacentral:rRNA from 1 species
UACGGAGGGUGCAAGCGUUAUCCGGAUUCACUGGGUUUAAAGGGUGUGUAGGCGGACUUUUAAGUCAGCGGUGAAAUCUCCGGGCUCAACCCGGAAACUGCCAUUGAUACUAUUGGUCUUGAAUGUUGUUGAGGUGGGCGGAACGGGUCAUGUAGCGGUGAAAUGCAUAGAUAUGACCCGGAACACCGAUUGCGAAGGCAGCCCACUAAGCAAUGAUUGACGCUGAGGCACGAAAGCGUGGGGAUCAAACAGG